rnacentral:rRNA from 1 species
UGCGUAGGCGGAUAUAUAAGUUAGAUGUGAAAAGCCAGGGCUUAACCUUGGUCGUGCAUUUAAGACUGUAUGUCUAGAGUUUGUAAGAGGGGGGUAGAAUUCCAAGUGUAGCAGUGAAAUGCGUAGAGAUUUGGAGGAAUACCGAUGGCGAAGGCAGCCCCCUGGUAUAGAACUGACGCUGAGGCACGAAAGCGUGGGUAGCAAACAGGAUUAGAUACCCUGGUAGUCCACGCCCUAAACGAUGUUUACUUGCUGUUGGGAGCAAUCUUAGUAGCGAAGCUAACGCGAGAAGUAAACCGCCUGGGGAGUACGGUCGCAAGAUUAAA